GAUUUGCAUUUAAAAAAUGUUAUCUUAAAAUUAUUUUAGUUACAAAAUACAGUAAUUGUUAACCAAAUUUUUUGCAAUAUGAAUUUUUCUUUGAGUAGUUUCAGCGCGUGUCCCUACAUUUUGCUCUCUGCUACGCUGUUUUUGUUUGCGGAUCAAAAAUCUUUGCUUUUGAGUCAAAAAGUUUUGGAUGCAAGUUACAAGCGUCUCAGUGGGCGGGAUCAACCUAGUUGAAUGAAAGACCCGUUUCUAUUGGCCACUACUGUCACCAUUUGGCCACGCCCACCACGGAAGUCUGCCUGUUGAACGAGGAGAGCGAUGCUGUGCUAUGGAGAGCGGCAUAUUGUUUGUAAGAUGAUUCUUCACUAGAGGUUACAUUGAAGUCAGGCAAUGACAGGAAGGAUGGCUGGGGAUUCCAAGAUCUGAUAAAAAAAAGUUACAUGAAGAUACUUGGACUACUCAUGGGACCAAAGAGCUAUUACACCAGCUCCAGUCUGGAUCCUGUCUCUAUCAGAUGACCCUACACAUAAGGAAAGUUGACAUCGGACAUCACGAGGACUUCAAAACUGUUCAAAGCGCUAUACAAAUAAAUGUGAACAAAAUUGAAUUGUUUGAAGUCAACAGCAGAGAUGAGGAUGCCACACAAUGCAUCCUCUCCACAACAGAUCUUGCAUUACAAAGUGAUAUUGACAUCUUUCUUGGCCUCUCUGAUUACAAUCCUCCCAAUCAUUCCUGCAACACAAGAAGCACACAUUACUUUUAUGUCACAAAUCACAGUUUGUAAUUAAAGUAUGGUCUACCUGCUACUUUUAAAAGAUCUUCGUAUCA